CAUGCUGCUUCACAGAAAUUAUAAAGCCAUGCAUCAUGUACCUAAUUUCCCAGGGGUCUCUCUCUCUUCUCUGUUGGGGGCAUGGCACAGGGACAUUAUAAUAAAUAUUCUAAAUGAUGCAAUGGAGAAAAUAACAAUGUGUGCAACAUAUUGUCCGAGUGUGGCAACACCUACUCACUGGCACCGAGAGAGGGUUCACUGGAGGGUAAUGCUGCUUCCUUGACAACAUAAUGGCACCAGCUGCUGACCAGAUAAAGUGUAUGAAUGUGUGUUGUUUUUUUUUUGUUUGUUUUUUUUUGUUUUUCCAGGGACAGGAGCAGUUCAUUGUCUCUAUGCCUUUCCUUUUCAUCCCAGAGGAGCAGAGGGAGCUGAUCCCAGUACUGUCUGCUGUCUAAUUAAUUGCUUUUUUCAUGCCAAUCCUUUGGUAAUUUGGCCAGAUUAUACUGUGCAUGUGGCACACUGUGUUUAUGCGUUUCAUCUCUUGUAUGUGGAUGUGUGCAGGUGCAGAUUGUGAGAGAGAAACUCCAAAUGGCUUGGCUCCGCCCCACAAAGAUUCAUAUCCCACCAGCACAUCAAGACAAAACCAAACAGUGGCUGCUCAGAACAGAAAUAUUGGCUCAUGUCCGGUUGAAGGACAGCCUACCCUGGAACACACAAGACAAGGUGCAUUCAGAUGGAAAGUCUUUUUCCUAUUUGUAUCAUCAUGACCCUCAGUUUGCUGUAGCCCUCAGCCAAUUCCAAGCAGCUUGCACAGUGGGCGGUGCAAUAUCUGGGGACCUCUGACUGUGCAGAUGUCAACGCUGGAGCUGGUUCUUGAGGUGUUACCUCAAAUGACAUGAUGUUAGUUUUUUUUUUUUUUGGUACAAACCUCUUUGUUUUUUGUAUUUAAAACUUAAAGUAAUUGUAAAAUUGUUAAACAUACGUUAUUGUUAGUGGAUGCUGUUGUUUUAACUAACUGUAAGCAAAUUCAGAGGUGGGUCAAUUGUAAUUAAUGUUAAUAUUUUAAAUACUAUGACCUGUGUCACAAUUUGUAAUAUUUAAUCACAAUAUGACUUAUGUUUGCACGUUUACCUCUUUUAAGCCAUAGUCUUAAUGGUUUGUACAAAGCAAAAAAACCUGCGCUAAUGUUAGAAGUCACAUAAUGGUGAAACUGUCAUAAUCAGGUCAGUGAAGUGACAAUCAUUUCUUUGUUCUGACCUAUUAAUUUAAGCAUUCAAAAUGCAUUUCAUACAUACAUUGACUUAAAUACACAUCAUCUAUGCUGGACAUGUUUUCCAUUUCUGAAGUAAAAGUGAAUUGUUGAUAAUUUUGUGGUAAAAAAAAAUGGGUGUAACCAUUCUUAGCUUGAAAUGAAGAGAACAGCUCAUUAAAAGGUUGAAAUUGUUGGGGGGGUGAAACCUAAUUAAGCAGUUUGG